rnacentral:rRNA from 1 species
UGGCAGCCAUCCACGCCAUCCUGGUCGCCGAUGCCGACGUGUUGGCCAUCCCCCAGUCCCCUCGGUGUAUAAGGCCGAGCGCCCAACCCCGCUGACGAACCCUAGCGCUCCUAAUCCCCUCGUUCGCCCCUCUUCCUCUCCGUCUUGUUCGCCCGAGCACGGUCGUCGAUGCGCUGCCGUCGAUCCCGCGGCCACCGGCCACCCCGACCUGCGCCACGGCGUCUAGGCGGCCCACCGUCCUCGUCUCCUUCCUCUACGCCCUUCGGUUCGUCACCAGGCCGCCACCAAGAUCGCCAUCGCGGGUCUUCUCCGCCACGGCCGUCAUCACCUCGCCGCUCGACCCGCUCGUCUCCGACCAGCCCCGAUCUCCCCGACCUCGCCAUCGAGCUCGCGACCCCGAGACCGAUGCUGCCCCUGUGAUCGACUACAUCGCCGAUGACACUUCUUCCUUUUCAGCAGAUCUUCCAGAUGACAGAUCCCAGGAGCCAGACGACACCACCGAUGACUACUACUACCCCGAGGGUGCCUACUUCUACGUGAUGGCCACUGACGACCUGGAGUAGUUAGGAGGCUCCCCGGUAGGAGGCCUUGCCUUUUCAAUCAAUGUUGCUUUUGUGCUAGCCUUCUUAAGGUAAAACUUGCUUAACCUAUGUUUGUACUCAGAUGUUGUUGCUUCCGCUGACUCUUGUGUAUUCGAGCUUAUGUAUUCGAGCCCUCGAGGCCCCUGGCUUGUAAUAUAAAGCUUGUAUUAUUUUAAUUUGUGUCUAGAGUUGUGUUGUGAUUUC